rnacentral:lncRNA from 1 species
GGGUGCCUUAGGCGUUGAUGCUGCAGACGGAAGUCAUCUGCUGUAGAAGCCCGGACGAAAACUUUCUGUUAGAGAAAUUCGACUGGAGUUCGAUUGCUAGAGAAGUCUAUCUGGAAUUUGUCUGAUAUAGAAGCUUGUCUGAAGACUGUCCGUUGGAGAGGUCCGGUUGCAUGAGGAAUCUGACAGAAGGUCGACCGUUAGUGAAAUUUGGAAGGCACUAUAGAAGUUUGACCGAUAGAAGAGUCCAGAAGGCAUUGUGGAAGUUCGUCCACUAGAGAAGUUUGGAGGACACUGUGGAAGGUCGACCGCUAGAGGGAUCCUGAGGAAAUUUGUCUGUUGGAGGGGUCUGGUGGGCACUGUUGAAGUUUGGUUGGCGCUGUUGAAGGUUGAUGGCUGGAGAGGUACAGA